GAUGAACGCUGGCGGCGUGCCUAAUACAUGCAAGUCGAGCGAACAGACGAGGAGCUUGCUCCUCUGCCGUUAGCGGCGGACGGGUGAGUAACACGUGGAUAACCUACCUAUAAGACUGGGAUAACUUCGGGAAACCGGAGCUAAUACCGGAUAAUAUAUUGAACCGCAUGGUUCAAUAGUGAAAGACGGUUUUGCUGUCACUUAUAGAUGGAUCCGCGCCGCAUUAGCUAGUUGGUAAGGUAACGGCUUACCAAGGCGACGAUGCGUAGCCGACCUGAGAGGGUGAUCGGCCACACUGGAACUGAGACACGGUCCAGACUCCUACGGGAGGCAGCAGUAGGGAAUCUUCCGCAAUGGGCGAAAGCCUGACGGAGCAACGCCGCGUGAGUGAUGAAGGUCUUCGGAUCGUAAAACUCUGUUAUUAGGGAAGAACAAAUGUGUAAGUAACUAUGCACGUCUUGACGGUACCUAAUCAGAAAGCCACGGCUAACUACGUG
rnacentral:rRNA from 1 species